rnacentral:rRNA from 1 species
UACGUAGGGUGCAAGCGUUGUCCGGAAUUAUUGGGCGUAAAGAGCUUGUAGGCGGUUUGUCGCGUCUGCUGUGAAAAUCCGGGGCUCAACCCCGGACUUGCAGUGGGUACGGGCAGACUGGAGUGUGGUAGGGGAGACUGGAAUUCCUGGUGUAGCGGUGGAAUGCGCAGAUAUCGCUUGGAACGCCAACGGUGAAAACAGGUUGCUGGGGGUGUGCUGACGCUGAGACACGAAAGCCAGGGGAGCGAACGGG